AGAGGAAGUAAAAGUCGUAACAAGGUUUCCGUAGGUGAACCUGCGGAAGGAUCAUUAUUGAUUUUAGCUUAACCUGGCUUUUUAGCCAAGGUUAAUGCGAAAUUCUUGUAUUUAAAACCCACUCUUACAUGAAUCAAAUUUUUUUUAUUGUAAUAAAAAAGAUCACUUUCAACAACGGAUCUCUUGGUUCUCGCAUCGAUGAAGAACGUAGCGAAGUGCGAUAAGUAAUGUGAAUUGCAGAAUUCCGUGAGUCAUCGAAUCUUUGAACGCAAAUUGCACUUUCUGGUAUUCCGGGAAGUAUGCCUGUUUGAGGGUCAAUUUAAUAACAAUCGAUGUGUUUCUUUUAUUAGUAAUACAACGGAAUUGAGUUAUCUUAACCUUAGGUUAAGAGGCUCAAAAUUAAUUUAAUUUUGUAUUUAAAACGUAUUUAGAAUUUUCUAUGCGUUUCGGAUGCAAUAAUUUUAUUAGGUAUGAUCAUAUUUUGUAUGAUGUCAUACUCAUAAUUUUUUCAACUUUUGACCUCAAGUCAGGUAAGAAUACCCGCUGAACUUAAGCAUAUCAAUAAGCGGAGGAAUC
rnacentral:rRNA from 1 species